GCCCCGAUGAAUGCAUUGCCUGAUGCAGCCAUGCCGCGUGAGUGAUGACGGCCCUAGGGUUGUAAACCUCUUUCACCGCUGACGAUAAUGACGGUACCCGGAGAACAAACCCCGGCUAACUUCGUGCCAUCACCCGCGGUAAUACAAAGGGGGCUAGCGUUGUUCUGAAUUACUGGGCGUAAAGCGCACAUAUGCGGGUAUUUUAGUCACGGGUGAAAUCCCAGAGCUCAACUCCGGAACUGCCUUUGAUACUGGGUACCUAGAGUAUGGAACAGGUAGGUGGAAUUCCAAUUGUGGAGGUGAAAUUCAUAGAUCUUCUGAGGAACACCACUGGCGAAGGCAACGUACUGGUCCGUUACUGACCCUAAGGUGCGAAAGCGUGGGGAGCAUACCGGAUUAGAUACCCUGGUAUGCCACGCCGUACACGAUGAAGGUUACCCGUCGGGUUGCUUGCCUGUCGGUGGCGCAGCUAACGCAUUAAACAUUCCGCCUGGGGAGUACGGUCGCAAGAUUAAAACUCAAAAAAAUUGACGGAAUUGACGGAA
rnacentral:rRNA from 1 species